rnacentral:snRNA from 1 species
GGAUGCGAGGUCAAUCUGGCUGCAACACAUGUGGCCCCACUGGUCACGGGUUGAUUCAGCGGAUCUAGCUGGCCAGGACGGAAUCCCCUCCCUUCCUCACCAUGCCACAAGUGUCCUUCACAAAGUCUCACACUGUGUGGAAGAGCACGGCCACCCCCAUAGAGGAUGACCACUUGAUCAGUCAAGGGGUAGGAGUAGGUGUACUGCUACAGCCUUUAGACAAGAGCUUGAGGAAGGUAUGGCCAGUUAUUUUGGACCAAGUUCUGGACAUUUCAGACUGGAUCUU